UGAAGAAAUCUUCAAAGGCCAAAACCUUGGCCUUGCCCUUGUUCCUGUUUCUGCCUAUGAUGUAAAAUUACGACUUGUUAGAGGGAGUCCUUAUCUCAAGACUCAUUCAGAAAAAGAAAGAGUUUCAAUCUCAUGAAUUAAUAGAAAUCUUGCUUGAGCUUUAUUGUAUUAAAAUUAUGUCUCUUAUAUAGGAGAGACUUACAGCAAGAAGAUUUAUAAAUAGAAGUUCCUACUAAUAAGGAAUCCUACUGAUAAAAGGAAACUAAUAAUAUCAAAACACUAAAUAGGCAAAAUUACUGCAUUACUGCUGAUCUUCAUGAGCCACACUCUUGUAAUUUCGGUCAACAAAUGCGUCUAUA
rnacentral:misc_RNA from 1 species